rnacentral:rRNA from 1 species
GACGAACGCUGGCGGCGUGCCUAAUACAUGCAAGUCGAGCGGAACUUUCAUUGGAGCUUGCUCCUUUGACAGUUUAGCGGCGGACGGGUGAGUAACACGUGGGCAACCUGCCCUGUAGAUUGGGAUAACUUCGGGAAACCGAGGCUAAUACCGAAUAAUACUUGGAACCUCAUGGUUCUAAGUUGAAAGAUGGUUCUGCUAUCACUACAGGAUGGGCCCGCGGUGCAUUAGCUAGUUGGUGAGGUAACGGCUCACCAAGGCAACGAUGCAUAGCCGACCUGAGAGGGUGAUCGGCCACACUGGGACUGAGACACGGCCCAGACUCCUACGGGAGGCAG